AUGUUAUUGGAGCUUGAGAAGAGAAGAGGCCCUCGCGCACUCCUCCUCAAGGACCUUGGUGUGGCUGAUGUUAUCUUGAACAUCAAGCUAUUGAGAGAUAAUGAGGGUGGGAUCACACUUCUGCAAUCCCAUUAUGUUGAGAAGGUGUUGAGUCGUUUUGGAUAUUCGGACUGCACACCAUCUCAAACACCAUAUGAUCCUAGCGUGUUGAUUCGAGAGUCCAAAGGCAUGGCUAAAGAUCAAUUGAGAUACUCUCAAAUCAUUGGUUCACUGAUGUACCUAGCUAGCGCAACGAGGCCUGACAUCGCGUUUGCUGUGAGCAAACUGAGCCGGUUUGUUUCUAAACCGGGCGAUGUACAUUGGCAUGCUGUUGAAAGAGUUAUGCGCUAUCUGAAAGGUACUAUUUACUAUGGACUUCACUAUACCGGAGACCCGUCAGUACUUGAAGGGUAUAGUGAUGCGAAUUGGAUCUCUCAUGCUGAUGAGAUGAAGGCCACAACUUGGUAUAUGUUUACUCUUGGAGGUGGCACUGUUUCUUGGAUGUCUUGCAAGCAAACGAUCUUAACGAGAUCGACAAUGGAAGCAGAAUUAACAGCAUUAGACACUUCUGGUGUUGAAGCAGGAUGGCUUCGAGAUCUUUUGGUGGACUUGCCACUGGUUGAUAAAUCGGUUCCGGCUAUCCUUAUGAACUGUGAUAAUCAGACUGUCAUCACCAAGGUGAAGAGUUCAAAGGACAACAUGAAGUCCAACAAACACAUAAGAAUGAGAUUAAAAGUUGUCAGAACAUUAAGAAACUCCGGAGUGAUAGCGCUGGACUAUGUCCAUACGGCUAAGAAUCUGGCAGAUCCCUUUACGAAAGGGCUAUCACGUGUAGUGAUAGAUAGUGCAUCGAGGGAGAUGGGUAUGAGACCCACAUGA
rnacentral:rRNA from 1 species